rnacentral:rRNA from 1 species
GACAGAGGGGUGCAAACGUUGUUCGGAAUUACUGGGCGUAAAGGCGCGUGUAGGUGGAUUGGGUGUGUCAGAUGGUGAAAGCCCUGGGCUCAACCCAGGAAUUGCACCUGAAACUACCAGUCUUGAGUGGGUGGAGAGGGAAGUGGAAUUCCGUGGUGUAGAGGUGAAAUGCGUAGAUAUCUGGAGGAACGACCGGUGGCGAAGGCGGCAUCCGUGGACC